UACGUAGGGUGCGAGCGUUAAUCGGAAUUACUGGGCGUAAAGCGUGUGCAGGCGGUUUGUUAAGACAGAUGUGAAAUCCCCGGGCUUAACCUGGGAACUGCAUUGGUGACUGGCAGGCUUUGAGUGUGGCAGAGGGAGGUAGAAUUCCACGUGUAGCAGUGAAAUGCGUAGAGAUGUGGAGGAAUACCGAUGGCGAAGGCAGCCUCCUGGGCCAACACUGACGCUCAUGCACGAAAGCGUGGGGAGCAAACAGG
rnacentral:rRNA from 1 species